GGGCGGUUAGCUCAGUUGGGAGAGCGCUACCUUCACACGGUAGAAGUCGCAGGUUCAAGUCCUGCACCGCCCACCA
rnacentral:tRNA from 1 species